CAUUAGAAAGAACACUGCAAUCUUUGACUGUUCUCUCCCGUGGCUGCUCUAGCCCUCCGCACCCCUUGCCCAUGGUCUGACUGACCCCUCUCUAGAUCCUUCUCUCUGUAACUGCAUUAUGUAUGAGCAUCCACAACUCAGGGCCAUAAGUCUGUCUCUGCAGUUCUGAAAUCUAAAUAGCUCUGAAAACCAAAUGUUUUUUUCUAACUCAUUGGUAGCAAAACCAGCCCUGAACUAUUUCUGAGCUUUCGGGAGGAAUUGCUGUGAGUGCACAUGCUUAUUUCCUUUGGAAAGUUAAUGUUUGGUUUCAACUGUCCAAAGCCCAGAAGUGGGCAAAACAUAAUUUGUAUUGUAUGCAUUGCUUUUCUUUUUAAUACCUAAAGAUCAUUAUUUCCAGACAUGUCUAGCCACACAGGCUCAGAGUGAGGAACCAUGGACUGCCUUCAUAAGUUUACAUUACCGUCUGGUGUUCUGGCCCAUCUUUGUAAGUCAUGGAGUCACACUUCUGCAUAACUUUCUACAGCUUGCUUUCCCUAGACAUUGCUAUGAAUUAGAAAUCUGUGUUGUUGUUUACUAUGGCUGUGAGUAUUCCACAGCAGAUGUUUGGUCUUUUUAUCCAAGCAUUUCAGUGACCCCAGGUUUUCACUGCCCAGGGCCACGGUGAGCACCAUUAAGCACACUGAUGUACUGAUGUGUGUGUAUUCUCUCCAAGAAGCAGAACUCCUGGGGUAGAGUGGGGUUGCAGAAUCUUACUGUGUAGCCUAGAACUCUUUAUGUAGAUUAGAUCAGGCCGGCCUUGAACUCACAGAGAUCUGCCUGCCCCUGACUGAAAAUGCUGAAAUUAAAGGUGUAUGCCACCACACCCAGCACAAGCUGAAUUUGACAGUGUUUAAACAGUGCUGUGGCUCUUGUGCUAUGAAGUCUUCUCCUUAACUUCAUCUUUAACAGUUGCCCAGCACCCUGUUGCCUUUGUUUCCUGAGGCGGCUGUAACAGAAUAUUCUGAACUGGGUGGCUUCAGCAACACGUGCAUACUGUCUCACAGUUCUGAAGCCCAGAAGUUCAAGGUCAAUGAGUGGGUAGGCUUGGCUCUUACCUAGUGAGCAGUGAAGAGAACCUGCUUCGGGCCUCUCCCUGGCUUCUGGAGACUACUGGUGGCCCUUGGUCACCUGUCAUCCGCUGUGGCACGUGUCCCUGUGUACUGGUGACACAGCUUUUCCCUGAUAUGACAGAAUGCUAGAUGGAAUCAUACUAAGGAGAAAAACUCUAUCAUGACUCCUGAAUUUAGGGGUCUCUGUCCAUAGUCACCUAGCUCCAUUGCUUCAGGUCUGUGAUAAGGCAAGAGCAUUGUGGCAGAAGGACAUAGUGGAAAACAGUUGCUCAUCUCCUGUCAGCUACAGAGCAGGGACCAAGGACAAAGUGCUACUAGACCACACCCACAAUGACCUACUUCCUUAAGCUAGGCUCUUAGUUUCCACCCAGGCCCUGCUAAAACCAUCCAAUCAUGAAUCCAUCAAUGGGCUCAUCCAUUGAAAGACCAAAGCUCUCACCAUCUAGUCUCUCUGCACACUGUAUUAGGGACUGUACCUGCAAGACAGACAUUUCAGAGGGAGUCCAUUGUAGUGACUAUCACCAGGUCCAGACCUUUACCUUUGCUUUUUAACAGAUACAAUUAGACUGGAUUCCUGCACAUCCCAAGGACUUCAUCUUAGCCAGCUCCAUCUGCAGAAUGACCCUUUUUGCAAAUAAGAUCCCAUUCUGAGGACCCAGAGGUCAGAACUUCAGCCUGAGAAUUUGGAAGGAGGCAGAGUUCAGUUUUAACCAUCUAGAUCAGCCAAAAUGUACUGAGUCUCCUCACAGUGGUACCUGGGUGGUUUCUGCUGUUCAACAAGUCACAUCACAAUGAUCCAUGCUUCUAGGUACCCCACUAGGAGUCAUUCCCUAGUGCUAAGUCAAUGGGCCCACCUGGGGUUCUCAUUCACCCAGCUCUUCAGACGGGCCACCAAAACAAGGCCCCUUCACAUGCUUGUGCAUAUUUGCCAGCCCGGGUCCAGGAGAGCCUUCUGUCAUGCCUCAUUUUUAUUUUCCUUCUCUUUUCUGCCAAGGAAGAGAGUCCACAGGUUAAUAGCAAACUAGAAGCCCUUGAUGCGAAUGUCUGUGUAGGGCAUGUUCUCUUGCAGAUGAAGAGACAAAUAGAAAUUUCAGAAAUAUAGGGGCCUUUGCACACCAGACAUUAAAUCCAUCAGUGAAAUCUCAGUUCUGGGGCAGUGCCAGGACCUUGAGAAAGCAUUUUCUGAUUUAGUUGAGGCUGAAGAAGCCCAUGUCAGAGAAGGGCAGCUAGAGAACAAGCUGCCAGCUCUCUGAGGCAGGAACUCUCCAGAGCCCCUCAGAUUUUGAAGAAUUUUUUAGAAUAGGAGCUUUUCAGACUGUAUUCUAGGAGCUAAGAUUGGAAAACAGCCUGGGAAGACACAGCUUAAUCAGAGAUGGAGGCCUAAAGAAGCCUGUCAGGGAGCCAGAGGGCUGGCUGUACAUGGGAAACAAAGGCUGGGUGGGUGCUUGAGUCCUCGGUCAGGGAGUCAGUGUUGGCCACACUUAGCACAGGGGGCUCAGUGGAGAGAUAGGGCAGGAUGCAAGGAAGGAUAAAUAUAGCCCUUAGCAGGGGAAACACCACCCUCAAAUGUAGUGCUGCAGUGGAAACCUUAGCCUGGCCAUCUAGGACAAAUCCCGUGAAGGAAUAGAAGCCAAGAGAAAGGAAUACUGGUAACCAGCCAUCCUGCUAAUCCAGGUCCAGGAGGAGCCUUCCUACCCUGCCCCUCCGCUGCCCAGGAAUGGUGCUGCCUUGUUCUACAGAAAGAUGUUAGAUCUCUGUUCUCAUAGUUGCGUCUUCAGGAGUAGUGACCCAAACCCAGCGUGGAUGUUCCUGAUGACUGACCUGGGUCCCUAAUAUCUGCCAGCUCCUUCCCAGUUGUCUGGUAACAGCAGAGGACAUUUUGUGGCUCCAGGUUCUUUUCUCUCAACCAAAGCACUUGUUUUCAUGUCACACCCUGACAUGACUUUUACCUAGUCAGGGCUGGGGGUCUAUGGGGUCCCAGAUGAUGGAGCACCUGUCACCAUGACAUCUCCAAGACCAAUUGGUCUGCUGAUGGCAGCUUCCCUCUGCCACUGCUCCUUGUGUAAAAGGGGAAAAUGUCUAUCCUGUCAAUAUUUGGGGCACUAAUCACCUGUGUUCAGGCACCAGAGGUCAGGAAGAGGUCGAGACAGUUCCAGGAAUCCAAGACUCUAAAAAUGUGGGCCUGACUGGAAAGGAUUUCCAGAGAGGGGAAUGAAAGAAAGAACCCCAAAUCUCCACCCCUUCCCAGCCCCUGGGCACUGGCCACUGCAUCUUGGAUUCUUGGGAAGAAAUGAAGUCAGUGCACCCAGCUAUGCAGGUCCCGGUUAAUAAUGAAUGCGGAGGAAGGAGAGAGGAUGUUCAAUAUUUAAACAGUGCAGAGCACUAGCUGCCUUGCCAGUUACUGCCCUCCGCAUGCUUCCUGAAUGGCUUCUGUAAAUCUGAGCUCUACCCCAACUCAUUGCUGGCCUCUGCCACCAGCUUAUGUGAGUAGGGCACAGUAGCUUUGGGGUACUCUAGUCAACAAGAUUUCUGUUGCUUUUUGUGAAAGAUGGGGAUAAGGUCUGUGGUGUCCAGCCUGUGUGUUUAGGGCUCCUGUUCAAGCUGUGUGGAUCCCUCACACUCCUUCUCUUGGUGCUGUCUGUGUCUCAUCUGUGUUGGGCUUUGGUGGCCUAACUGAUGAGGAAGGUUUUACAGGGUAAAGUGGACCUGGUUUAAGAGCCAUCUCCUCAAGUCCAUAAACUGACUAUCUGCCUUCAAAGUUGCAUGUAAUGCAGAAUUCUGUGAAUCAAUUCCUCCUUUCUUCUUGACACAUGUUAUAUCAAAGGCAAAAGCAUCCUUUUGGGGGGAGGAGAAAAGAAAACAUUUGGCCUGAGACAUAAUAAAAUCAUGCUUAAGGAUGCAACAAACUUGAAGUCUCUUAGUUAAAGGAAAUCAAUACUUUUAUGAUGAAAUAUUAAUCAUCCUUUAAAAAAUAAGUCAAAACUAGAGAUGCACAAGAGCCAGAGUGAUCUUAAUGCCUCAGGCAUUAGCUUAGUGUUUGCGAGGAAGCACAGCAAGCAGAGCCCACUGGAGCCUCUCUGAGCCCCUCCCAGCCUCAUGAGCCACUUGUGGAUUUCAUUCAGAAGCACACAUAUCUCUCCCUGACAUGCCAAAGUUACUUCCAAGCAUUUCCAAACUGCUGAUUUGGGGAAACGAGGAAGAGAGGAGUCUGCAGAGGUGUGCAUACAUGUGUGCUGCUGACAGCAGGGACGAGGAGAGCGGAGAAUUAGAGAUAGUACUUGUCCACAUACCUACCACCUGUCCCUCCCUCCUUUGGACCAACAUUAAUUAUUCCAGUAGUCCUUUUAGUAGGUGUUGAACCAUGUUUGACUGUUUGAAACCAGGUCAAACUGGUUGAAUUUUGAGUUUCAUAUGUUUAAACCUAUUACAGACAACUCUGUCAGAUAUGCAGAAACAGUCCUGAGUGUGUUGAAAGCAGUGAAGCUGGCAUUUACAUAUCUGUGUCGAGAUAACAAGAACUCCAUGUUCUCACUGGUGACUUUGAUAUAAAUACUUAAGUCAAACUGGGCAUGGUAGUGCACUCCUGUAAUCCCAGCACUUGGAAAGCAAAGGCUAAAGGAUCACUGUUAGUUUGGAGCUAACCUGUCUUUAUAAAAAGAAAAAAAUCUGUUAGCCUUAGGCAAUUAAAGUUACUUUAGGACAGCUGCCAAGUCUCGGUCAUAUGGUGACAAAAGGAAGGCUUCACUCUUGUGUGGCUUUGCAUUAUCAAAAGAUGUAAAUCAUUUCUCCUGCCACAUACCUUGCAUCUAAGUCACUAAGUCUUGCCUCACUGAAACCAAGUUCCAGAUCAGCAGUCAAAAUGCAAGCACCUGGACUCUUAACCUACACUCCUCUUUCUUCCUCUUCCGUCCCAUGGGGUGGAAUAACUUGAUAUUGAUAAAAGAAAAAAAAAAAACUUGCUCUCACAUGCUUUCAGGGCAAGCAAGUUCUCUAUGGUCACAUCACCCAGGAGCAGCCCAAGCCCUGGGAAUGCUCCUCUUCCCUUGUGCCUGUUUCUGUGUACCUGAAUUUCUGCUUUUCUUGGGACUUUUCCCUUUGCAGAUGACAGAAACUGACCAUCUGACUGGUCACGUCUCAUGGGGCUGCAGAACAGAAGCUGACAAAGCCCUGUCCAGUGAGCAACUUUGGGCUUCUGAAGCAUGUUCUGGGCUAGUGCCUGACUCAGCACACUCCCUGAUCCCAUCUAACACCCAGCAUGCAGAUAGCAUCUUUGAUUCUUUCAGUAGUAAAGUGUAAGGCAACAUUGCCCUCUGUGAAUCUGGCCUGACCCCAGUCAGUUAGCACAGUCAGUUAAGAGAAGAGGCUUUGGUGACAAGGAAGGCACUGCAGGAACAACUGCCCUGCUCCGUCAGCUCAGAUAGAAAUGAACCCCAGGCACAUGGCUGUCUGCCCUGGGGGAGUAGUAAAUACAUGUCAAUACCACACCUUUUACAGAAGGUUCACAAUGAAUUUCUGACCCCUUUAUAUACCACCACCUUGUGGAAUGCUCAGGACUGGGGCAUCCACAUUAUGAGACAUACCCCACAAGCCUGCCCUGCUUCUGGUCUGGGAGGAUAGAGCAGGACUGAUAAGAGACUUCUUAGCAAACCAGGUACUCCUGGCUCAUCACAGGCUCUGGGGACAUCCUUGUCAGGGAGGCCUUUAGCAAGUCUACCUGGGUUGGGAAUCCCCUGUGCCUAGAGAUGCCCCAUAGCUAUCUAACAGCCUCCCCUCUCCCUGCUCUUUCAGCCUUGUCCACUGCUUCAGAGUACAGGCAGCCAAGAGGGCCGCUGGUGAGCUUUCUAUUGCCUUGGCUGAGAGACUGUUGUGGAGCUCUGUGCUCUCUCAUGUAUACACGGUUUUCUCGCAUAACCCUUAAAAUCCAAGAGGAUUUUUCCAUGGAUAAAGAGCUAUAGGCUAUCAGAUUCUGCAAGUUCCCAGAUAUUUUUGUAUGUUAUCCCUUUAAAACCAACCAGAAAUAAAAGUCUUUAAGUGUU